rnacentral:rRNA from 1 species
GAUGAACGCUGGCGGCGUGCUUAAUACAUGCAAGUCGAACGGAGACAGUAGCAAUAUUGUCUUAGUGGCGAACGGGUGAGUAACGCGCUGGUGACCUGCCCCGAAGAGGGGGAUAACAGUCCGAAAAGAUUGCUAAUACCCCAUGUGGUCAUUUGGAUUAGAUGCCUUAUGACUAAACGGAUUUAUUCGCUUCGGGAGGGGCCUGCGUCCCAUCAGCUAGUUGGUAAGGUAAUGGCUUACCAAGGCGAUGACGGGUAGGGGACCUGAGAGGGUGGCCCCCCACAAUGGAACUGAAACACGGUCCAUACACCUACGGGUGGCAGCAGUAGGGAAUAUUGGUAAUGGGCGAAAGCCCGAACCAGCAACGCCGCGUGCGCGAUGAAGGCCUUCGGGUUGUAAAGCGCUUUUUAAGGGGAUGAGGAAGGACAGUACUCUUAGAAUAAGCCUCGGCUAACUACGUGCCAGCAGCCGCCGUAAAAC